rnacentral:rRNA from 1 species
UCAAGUGACAAAGGGUCUACAGUGGAUGCCUAGGAGCCACCUGGCGAAGAAGGCCGUGGUAAGCUGCGAAAAGCGACGGGGAAGAGCCAACAUCUUGUGAUCCGUCGAUUGCCGAAUGGGGUAACCCGACCGGUGUGAUGACCGGUCAUCCCUAUCUGAACACAUAGGAUAGGGAAGCGAAACUCGGGGAACUGAACCAUCUAAGUACCCGAAGGAAAAGAAAUCAACCGAGAUUCCCGAAGUAGCGGCGAGCGAACCGGGAAGAGCCCAAACCGUCUUUGACGGGGUUGUAGGGCGCGUCAAUAGUGGAGUGCAGAGAGUAGUGGAACGCUACUGGGAAGGGCGACCAAAGACGGUGACAGUCCGGUACACGAAACUUGAAACACUUCCGAUGCGUACCUGAGUAGGGCGGGACACGUGAAAUCCUGUCUGAACAUGGGGGGACCACCCUCCAAGCCUAA